CACGUAGGGGGCAAGCGUUGUCCGGAUUCAUUGGGCGUAAAGGGCGCGCAGGCGGCCCGGUAAGUCGGAUGUGAAAACUCGGGGCUCAACCCCGAGCGUGCACCCGAUACUGCCGGGCUUGAGGCAGGUAGGGGAGAUCGGAAUUCCUGGUGUAGCGGUGAAAUGCGCAGAUAUCAGGAGGAACACCGGUGGCGAAGGCGGAUCUCUGGGCCUGUCCUGACGCUGAGGCGCGAAAGCUAGGGGAGCGAACAGG
rnacentral:rRNA from 1 species